CCUCCUCCUCCAGGAGGACGCGCCGCCGCCCCUGUUCUUCCUUCCUCCUGUCGGCAUGCGCGCCGCCACCCCUCUGGCCGUCGCUGGCAUCCCGUUCGAGCCCGUGGAUCCGAGGAAGAUGGAGACGAUGGAUGAUGGGAAGGACCAGCGGCUGCCUAGUGGUGACCUCGUGGAAGCAGACGGUCGACAAAGACCAUCAUCGAGGCUGCUACUGGUAUGUGUUGUGCAAUCUUCAGAGAUGAAAAAAAGAUACUAGUACAGAGAGGAGGGAGGAUUGCAAUUCAGACAGAUUGGCUGGAGUUCAGCAGAAGGAUUCACAUCAGUGCAAAUCUCCGGUGGGAGUAAGUUCAGAGGGGGAAAAUGCAUCUGGCCCAACCGCCUCGACCUCAACAAGCCCCAUCAAGAUUCGGCACCGUGGGCUGCACCCCCUCUCUUCCUUCGAAACUAGGAGUUGUGGAGGAGCAUUGAUUGGUUGUCUACUCGGAAAGAAAAGAAGAUGAAGUAUGUGACCAUCGUAGCAACUGUUGAAGAGACGUUGUGCGGCUGGUUGUGGAUGAGAAUUGUCUAGCCGGCAAUGGAUUUCCAGCAAGGGCGGCAGAGAAAAAUCCAUGACGAGAUGAACACCACCACGACAACAUCAUGGAUGUGAUCAAGGUACCUCUGUUUCCACAGUCCUACCAGGAAAGUUUUCAGGUUAUCCUGGUUCCAGGUUUAGAUUGUUUAUAGAGUAAUCAUACAUCGAUUGUGUGUGCGCGGUCUGUACAAAAUGGAUAGGCGUAGUUUUUAUUAACCAACUUGUUGCACAUUAUUGGUUCUAGUUGAAAUAUCUUUCUCCCUGCAUCUUACACCAAGAGAGAUUCAGGGAAGAAGUGAGGUGCAUAAGUAUAACAACAAGGCAGGCAAGAUACCAGGGUGCAGGCUUCAACAUUCAGUCGUUGUGGCCAGCAUGCACUCUUAUUUCAUAAUCUACCUUGCGUGUCUUAUAUUUGAGAGGGAAUUAGAUUUAGCUUGGUCGUGCCAUCCAUCCGGAUGCUACUAAAUUGUGUAACUACCUAAGUUCUUUUUUGACUGUGCAGAAAUAGCAUUGGCUGCAACGAUGGAGUAUGUUUUACAUGUUUUUUUGUUGAUGAAAAAAGUAUCCGUUUCAUCUUAACCAUACACUCGACGAAAAAUGCUAUUUUGCCAAAGAACGUCUUGUCAGCUAUGGUAUUUAAGCUCAGAGUUACUAACUCAAUGAGGUGUAUUAUAAGUUUGGGGCUACUAUUUUUUUUCAUAUACAUAAAUGUAUUUGACACCUCUGAGCAUCUAGAAAUCUUGCAAUUGGUAGAUAGCAUUUGCCUUCCGAAAAUUUUCCUUGAGACCAUGAGAGUCUGAAGAAAAAUUGAUUAAUUAUUAAUGUUGUUAUAUUUAUGCAAGUUGAAUGCUAUUAAAAAUUCUUAUUUCCCUUAUCGGGAAUGAAUUGUGAUUUAUACUAGCUGUUAGACAAAUAUUGGAACACAGUGUGCAUGAUAGUUCUUUUUAGAAUACGUAAAGAACUUUGUGUCCCGAUGAACUCACAGAAAAAGAGAUUUGAAAUUAUGUCCAAGCCUAAAGAAGGGCCACGUCUAAAAUAGAACACCACACCCCUUUUUAAAAUUACUGACGGGUUGAUGUUGUUGCAUGUCGUGGCGGGGACGGGUGUGUAGCAGCCGUAUGCGCACUGCUUGUGCUGGGCGCCGAUCUGGAGGCCCCUGAUCGGAAGGGACGCCACUGGAGCUGCUGCGGGAGAUGGUAGCGAAUACUGAUGUGGACAUUCAAGCUGCAAUAGUGGAGCUGCAUGUGCUGCUAUAGAUUGGUCCUUGCAGCUUAUGAAGGCAUCAACUAUUGGCGGCACAAAAUUGUGGAGCUUAAGAUUCCCCACCCUUAUUUCUGAAGGAAAGCUAAAGUUCGGGGUGCUAAUCUCCGAGGAUUUUCUCAAU